CAAGCUUUAUGUAAGUGUAUAUCCAUCAUGGCAUUAUUCAUAAAGUCUGGGAAAAAUGGAAAUGACUUACCUAUAUAAAAUACUGACGUGGUUGUGACGUCUACGUUGUAGUGGGAGGUCCUUUCUCUUAGAAAAUGUGUCCUAGAGACAACAGACUUAUGAGGGAUGUAGUAACUCCUUUGCACCAAAGGACAAACUUACACACAACGUGUCCCUUAAGAAUGAGGACUGUGGUGAGGACUUGGAGUACAUUUUUGAAAAGCAGAGGACUAGUUUAUAACCUGUUCACUCAUCUGUCACGUGGGGGUGCUGUUUACCACCAUAGCUGUAAUUUCUGCCUGACUUCUGAGCACAGCUGAGAUCCCUUUGUAUCUUCAUUUCAAGAGCGAACCCUCCCUCAUGUAGACCAGAGACACUAACAUUGAACUCUUCCCUGGGCUCUCUAAUUCUGAUCUUAAUGUUUGGAGGAAGCAGUGGCAAUUCGGUCAAACGGUCAGACCAAAUUACCGUCUUGGCAGGAGCAUCUGUGACUCUGAAUUGUGUGUACACAUCCACAGGGUACCCUACCCUUUUCUGGUGUGUCCAGCACCCCAACAAAGCUCUGCAGUUUCUUCAAAGAGACACAGUGGAAAACAGCAAGGAGUUUGCAGCCAGAGAUAUUAAAGAUAGAAUCUCCCCCAUUGUGAAAUACUCAGUCCAGGUAUCAGACUCAGCUGUGUACUACUGUCUCCUGAGAGACACAAUGCCAAGGGCACUGGAGGAAGCUGUGCAAAAACCUCGAGGGCCCAGAUGGGGUAUGUAGUGAGGCCAGUAACCUCAAGCUGAAGAACGUUGUUCUCUCUCAUAGACAGUCCUGCUGGGACAUUGUGAGAAGACAGGGAGAAGCAAAAUGGGCUGCAACUGCCUCUACACCAGGGACCCAGGGGUUCUUUCACUGAAAAUGGGGUGAGGGGAAAGGGUCUCAGAUAAUGUACCUGCUCUCAAUUAGGUGGUCUCUCUCCUGCCCUCAAGGCUUCCUUGCAUGAGGUUUAGGAAUUAGAUUCUAAUGACUUGGGUGCCUGUCCUGGCACUACUACUUAUUAGCUCUGCAAAUUUGGCCAAGCUAAUUAAUGUCUCAGAGCUUUAGUUUUUUUCAUCUGUGAAGUAGAAAUAAAACAAUCACACAGGGGCCGGCCCA
rnacentral:lncRNA from 1 species